GACAGAGGGUGCAAACGUUGUUCGGAAUUACUGGGCGUAAAGCGAGUGUAGGCGGUUCGAUAAGUCGGAUGUGAAAGCCCCGGGCUCAACCCGGGAAGUGCACUCGAUACUGUCGAGCUAGAGUAUCGGAGAGGUUGGUGGAAUUCUCGGUGUAGAGGUGAAAUUCGUAGAUAUCGAGAGGAACACCGGUGGCGAAGGCGGUUCUCUGGGCCUUACCUGACGCUGAGGAGCGAAAGCGUGGGGAGCGAACAGG
rnacentral:rRNA from 1 species